UGUGAUCUUUUUCGAUCCUUCUUCUUCAGAAACCCUAAUUCGUUGCUAAAGUGAUUAGGGUUUUGUUUUGUUUCUUUUUGCAUUAAUUUGUAUUCUAAACUGUGGUCUGAUGAGUGGUUCAUGCAAACAUACAUACAGUUCCCAAGAUUUCUUAUAGACUAGUGCUUGAUUUUGGUGAUGAUUGUUAGAGAUGGUUCGAGACGUGCUAGCGUUGCAGCCGGAGACGGAGACGACGCCUGGGGAUGGAGGCGUAGGUAUGCUGGUGAAGAAGAAGGGAACGGCGAGUGCGAGGAGUUGGAUAUUGAUCGAUACUAACGUGAAUGAGACGAUUAUGGAUAUUGAUAAGUAUGCUAUCAUGCACCGAGUUCAGAUUCAUGCUCGUGAUCUUCGGAUUCUUGAUCCUCUUUUAUCUUAUCCUUCUACAAUUUUAGGCCGUGAAAGGGCAAUUGUCCUUAACUUGGAACAUAUCAAAGCUAUUGUCACUGCUGAAGAGGUGUUGCUUCGAGAUCCUUCAGAUGAUAAUGUAAUACCAGUUGUUGAGGAACUACGGAGGAGAUUGCCUGUUGCAAAUGCCAAUCGUGGAGACUUGAGUGGGCAGCAUGAUGAAGCUGGGGAAGAAGACGAAUCACCAUUUGAGUUUCGAGCACUAGAGGUUUUCUUAGAGGCCAUUUGCAGUUUUCAUGCUGCUUGUACUACAGAACUGGAAACCGAUGCUUACCCAGCCUUGGAUGAGUUUACGUCUAAGAUUAGUAGCCGUAACUUGGAUCGUGUUCGUAAACUGAAAAGUGCAAUGACAAGGUUGACUGCUCGUGUUCAAAAGGUUAGGGAUGAACUUGAACGACUUUUGGACGAUGAUGAUGAUAUGGCGGAUCUAUAUUUAUCAAGAAAGCUAUCUUCGGCUUCACCAGUAAGUGACUCAGGUGCUGCUAGUUGGUUUCUUGGCUCGCCUACUAUWGGUUCAAAGAUAUCUAGAGCUAGCAGGGCAAGUGUGAUGACGAUUCAUGGAGAUGAAAACGAUGUUGAAGAGCUUGAGAUGCUUCUAGAGGUUUUUUGGAUGUAUUCCAGGCCUACUUCAUGCAGAUUGAUGGAACGUUAAACAAGUUAACCAGUCUGCGUGAAUAUAUUGAUGAUACAGAAGAUUAUAUCAACAUCCAGCUUGACAAUCAUAGAAAUCAGCUAAUUCAGCUGGAGCUAUUUCUAAGUUCAGGAACUGUAUGUAUGUCCGUCUAUUCGUUGGUGACUGGUAUAUUUGGCAUGAAUAUACCUUAUACGUGGAAUGAUGAUCACGGCUACAUGUUCAAAUGGGUGGUGAUUCUGUCGGGCGGAUUUUCUGCAGUCCUUUUUCUUCUGAUUGUUUCCUAUGCUCGUUUAAAAGGGCUGGUUGGAUCUUGAAUGCAAGCAAGCAGCAUUUAUGGAUACUGAUUUCUAACUCGUGUAUUCGCUUUCAGGUACGCAAGUACUAAUACUCCCUCCCUCCCUCCCUCCCUCCCUCCUCCAAUACAGAUAGAUCCAUUUUAAUUUUAAUUUUAAUUUUUUUUUCUUUCCCUUCUCCUUGUUUCUAAAUCAAAUAAGGAGAAGCAAUACAAACUUGAGGUUGAAACAUAAUGCUUACUUAUUGUAACCUGGGGGGAUGCUAUACUUGUUGAAAUAAAUAUUACAUUAACAUUUUGUUUUUCUA